UACAGAGGUCUCAAGCGUUGUUCGGAUUCAUUGGGCGUAAAGGGUGCGUAGGUGGCGUCGUAAGUCGGGUGUGAAAUUUCGGAGCUUAACUCCGAAACUGCAUUCGAUACUGCGGUGCUUGAGGACUGGAGAGGAGACUGGAAUUUACGGUGUAGCAGUGAAAUGCGUAGAGAUCGUAAGGAACACCCGUGGCGAAGGCGGCUCACUGGACCGGAACUGACGCUGAGGCGCGAAAGCGUGGGGAGCAAACGGG
rnacentral:rRNA from 1 species